CUCUCUCUCUCUCUCUCUCGCUCGCAAACGCCGAUGAGUUCCUGCAUCCUUUCCUUCCUCUCUCUCUCUCUCUCUGAGGGUUAGGGUUUUUGUCAGCUCUCCCCCUUCCUCCUUCCCUUCCUCUCCUUUCCCUCUCCCUCUCUCCCCCUCUCUCCCUCUCUUUCUCGCUUCCUUUUUUUCUCCCUUUCCCUCCUCCCCUCCCUCUCCAAAUCCUAUUUCGGGACACCCCAGAAUGGUACAGUAUGGAUCCGUAUCAUGUCGACCGACCAAUAUACCCUCUGGUAUUGGUUCGGCAAACCUCGGCAAACACCAUUGCAUGAACUGCACAAAGUUCAGAAUUCUUCCCUUAAACCAAUGGUCUCUAAUCUAUCAAAGGAUUUCUAAUUUAUUGUUUUAGUGAAAUGCCUGUUGAUGAUGAGAUUGAGAAAAUAUUUCCUUGUUUAAUUCUUCACUAUUUUUAACUUUGAUUCUUGAAUGAAGACAAUGGAAAUGGAUCCUUUUGAUGCUACUCUGCAUGCCAAUAGGAGCCGUUGUGGCUACGCCAGGGAGAGGGAGACGGCAUUGGCGGACAUGAAGUCUGCAGAAUUCUGAGUGCUGACUGGCCAAAAGCAUGCUAUCAGGAAGAUGCAGGAAUAUGAAAGAGCUGCAGAUGCUUUGUUGGGAUGGCUUAAAGCUAGAUCCUGGAAAUGAAGAAGUCAAAAAAUGCAUUAUGGUAUCUUCUCUGUUUGUGUGGAGGGGAGCUGGGGGAAGGUUUAUUAUUAUUAUUUUUAAUAUCCUCCCCCUGCCUUCUGUGUCACCUCAAAUGGGAUUACAAGAAGAUAGCUAGGAGCUUUGCCAUAAUUUAUAAAUUACCGGCACCCCUACAUACAAUGCUUUGUGUGGUUUAUAUUGCAAUUGGUGCUCUAGUUUCCUACCUUGGACCGGGAGCUGUGGACUCUGUGAAGAAAUCCCCUCAGUACUGAAAGGAUCAGUAAGGUAUCCAAGGAUCGUUUUUGUCAUGCGCUCUGAGAGAGCUUUACCUUUUGGUGCUGUGGUCUGUCCUGCUUAUGUUUUGUGGAGAGUCCAACAAGACCUGCCACUCCCCUGGCUGCCCUUAGUUAGGUAGGCAUAUAGGAAUUCCACAAGUCAUCUGUUGGCAUUACUCGACAUAGUAAGUUUUGUCGUUCUAACCCAGGUGGAGUUGGGCAAUUGUAGAACACCCAAAGGUUUUGGCUGCUGAUCUCUGCAAUGUGUCACUCUUUUCUGAUAGCAUAACCACUAGACAGUUCUCUCUUUCUAGUUUUUUGUUUUAGUUCUCAUUGUGGUGAAAGUUUUCCUGGAAGUCUGACAGCAGGAAGAUGUUUGCCUGUGUCACAGAUCUGUUGCAGAUUUCUGCAUUUAAAUGACAAGGUUGCUUUGUA